GUAGGUGAACCUGCGGAAGGAUCAUUAACGAGUUUGAAAGGGGUUGAUGCUGGCCUUCAGGGGCAUGUGCUCACUCUGCUCAUCCAUCUACACCUGUGCACCUAUUGUGGUUCUGGUUGAUUGGGUUGGAAACAACCUAAGAUGCCUGUCCCACGUAUUUACAUACACUAUAAAAAGUUCAGAAUGUUUACUUGCGAUAAUACGCAUCUAAUACAACUUUCAACAACGGAUCUCUUGGCUCUC
rnacentral:misc_RNA from 1 species